CCGGAGUGCCCCGAGGAAACCCAGGCAGGCAUGGUGAGAACAUGCAAACUCCACACAGACGGGUCUGGGAUUGAACCAGGGACCUCAGAACUGUGAAGCCAACCCUUUUCCAGUUGAUCCACCGUGCAACCAAGAAAUAAGAAAUAAGGAAGUAGGACAUGUUCCAUUUAUGCCACUACACCACUCACCGUUCUGGAGGUCAGCAUGGGGGGGUUGUCGUUUAUGUCGGUGAUGGUGAUGAUGGCGGUGGCCGUGUUGGAGAGACCAAAAUUCAGGUUGCCCUCCAUGUCUGUGGCUUGCACGAUGAUAGUAUACUGGGACACUUUCUGUGAACGUGUGUGCAGGUGUUUGUACUUGAUUGAUGGGACGACGUUGGAGGAAGCCAAUAUCUUCAAGCACCGCAGAUCGAUCACCAUGGCGACAGGACAAGCUGCAGUAGACCUCGUCAAAAACAUCGACCUUACAUGUUCCGCAUUUAGUUGCCUUCCCCGAAGACUGCAUUCCUACCUAAAAAUAUUGCUUUCUCAAAGCCGUAAAGUCCUCAAGCUUUGCUUCUUCUUCUUUAUCUUUCAGUUUGGCCCGUUAGGGGUCACCACAGCGUGCCAUCUUUUUCCAUCUAAGCCCAUCUUGUGCAUCCUACUCUCUAAUACCCCAACUGGCCUGAUGUCUUCCCUCACAACAUCCAUAAACCUUCUCUUUGGUCUUCCUCUCGCUCUUUUGCCUGGCAGCUCCAGCCUCAGCACCCUUCUACCAAUAUACUCACUCUCUAGCCUCUGAACAUGUCCAAACCAUCUAAGUCUGCAGUCUCGAACCUUGUCUCCAAAACAUCCAACUUUGGCUGUCCCACUAAUGAGCUGAUAUCUAAUCCUAUCCAACCUGUUCACACCAAGCGAGAACCUCAGCUUCA